GAUCCUGGCUCAGAACGAACGCUGGUAGCGUGGAUUAGGCAUGCAAGUCGGACGGGAUCCGGAAGGUAGCAAUAUCGGCCGGUGAGAGUGGCGGACUGGGGAGGAACACGUGAGCAACUUGCCCGCAGGACGGGGAAAACCGUUGGAAACGACGGCUAAUACCGGAUGCGGCGCCUUGGGGACAUCCCUGGGGCGCCAAAGGGGGCCGCAAGGCUCCCGCCCGCGGAGAGGCUCGCGCACCAUCAGCUAGUUGGCGGGGUAACGGCCCACCAAGGCCUACGGUUAGCUGGUCUGAGAGGAUGACCAGCCCCACUGGGACUGAGACACUGCCCAGACUCCUACGGGAGGCUGCAGUCGAGGAUCAUUUGCAACGGGCGAAAGCCUGACAAUGCGACGCUGCGUGGAGGAUGAAGGCCUUCGGGUUGUAAACUCCUGUCAUGGGGGAACAGGCGAGGGGACCCAACACGUCCCUUAGUUGAGUGUACCCCAAGAGGAAGGGACGGCUAACUCUGUGCCAGCCGCCGC
rnacentral:rRNA from 1 species